CGGGGACCCGCACAAGCGGUGGAGUAUGUGGCUUAAUUCGAUGCAACGCGAAGAACCUUACCUGGCCUUGACAUGCAUCUCUAAUCCGGUGAAAGCCGGUGAGUGUAGCAAUACACAAUUUGCACAGGUGCUGCAUGGCUGUCGUCAGCUUGUGUCGUGAGAUGUUGGGUUAAGUCCCGCAACGAGCGCAACCCCUGUGAACUGUUGCCAUGGAGACGUGAGUCUCCGGCACUCUGUUCAGACUGCCCUGUUCAACGGGGAGGAAGGUGGGGACGACGUCAAGUCAGUAUGGCCCUUACGGCCAGGGCUGCACACGUACUACAAUGCCCGAAACAGAAGGAUCCGAGACCGCGAGGUGGAGGAAAUCACUAAAUUCGGGCCCAGUUCGGAUUGGAGGCUGCAACUCGCCUCCAUGAAGCCGGAAUCGCUAGUAAUGGCGCAUCAGCUACGGCGCCGUGAAUACGUUCCCGGGUCUGUACACACCGCCCGUCACAUCAUGGGAGUCGUUUGUACCCGA
rnacentral:rRNA from 1 species